ACGACCCUACUUGAACGGGAUUCGUUCUAUAGGCUCGUACCUCUGCAUCCUUGAGUUCUACGGAGACAGGAACCCCGUCUGGUUAAUGAAAUCAUGACCCCACAACCGGAGCGUGAUUAAAUUAAUGGUGGUGCACGGGAAUAUGAUGUAGGCCUUCUGGCUGUAGAUGAUUGUUCUCAGCUUAGCCUUGGCCUGUUGUGGUGGUCGUGCGGUUGUCUGUUAGCAG